rnacentral:rRNA from 1 species
GAUGAACUUUUGCUACAGGCUUAACACAUGCAAGUCGAGGGGCAGCAUGAACUUAUCUUGCUAAGUUUGAUGGCGACCGGCGCACGGGUGAGUAACACGUAUCCAACCUGCCGAUGACUCGGGGAUAGCCUUUCGAAAGAAAGAUUAAUACCCGAUGGCAUAGUUCUUCCGCAUGGUAGAACUAUUAAAGAAUUUCGGUCAUCGAUGGGGAUGCGUUCCAUUAGGUUGUUGGCGGGGUAACGGCCCACCAAGCCUUCGAUGGAUAGGGGUUCUGAGAGGAAGGUCCCCCACAUUGGAACUGAGACACGGUCCAAACUCCUACGGGAGGCAGCAGUGAGGAAUAUUGGUCAAUGGACGAGAGUCUGAACCAGCCAAGUAGCGUGAAGGAUGACUGCCCUAUGGGUUGCAAACUUCUUUUAUACGGGAAUAAAGUGAGGCACGUGUGCCUUUUUGUAUGUACCGUAUGAAUAAGGAUCGGCUAACUCCGUGCCAGCAGCCGCGGUAAUACGGAGGAUCCGAGCGUUAUCCGGAUUUAUUGGGUUUAAAGGGAGCGUAGGCGGACGCUUAAGUCAGUUGUGAAAGUUUGCGGCUCAACCGUAAAAUUGCAGUUGAUACUGGGUGUCUUGAGUACAGUAGAGGCAGGCGGAAUUCGUGGUGUAGCGGUGAAAUGCUUAGAUAUCACGAAGAACUCCGAUUGCGAAGGCAGCUUGCUGGACUGUAACUGACGCUGAUGCUCGAAAGUGUGGGUAUCAAACGGGAUUAGAUACCCUGGUAGUCCAGACAGUAAAACGAUGAAUACUCGCGGUUUGGGAUAUCCAUAAGCGGCCCAAGUGAAAAGCGUUAAGUAUUCCCCCUGGGGAGUACGCCGGCAACGGAGAAACUCAAAGGAAUUGACGGGGGCCCGCACAAGCGGAGGAACAUGUGGUUUAAUUCGAUGAUACGCGAGGAACCUUACCCGGGCUUGAAUUGCAACUGAAUGAUGUGGAGACAUGUCAGCCGCAAGGCAGUUGUGAAGGUGCUGCAUGGUCGUCGUCAGCUCGUGCCGUGAGGUGUCGGCUUAAGUGCCAUAACGAGCGCAACCCUUAUCGAUAGUUACCAUCAGGUUAUGCUGGGGACUCUGUCGAGACUGCCGUCGUAAGAUGUGAGGAAGGUGGGGAUGACGUCAAAUCAGCACGGCCCUUACGUCCGGGGCUACACACGUGUUACAAUGGGGGGUACAGAAGGCAGCUACACGGCGACGUGAUGCUAAUCCCGAAAGCCUCUCUCAGUUCGGAUUGGAGUCUGCAACCCGACUCCAUGAAGCUGGAUUCGCUAGUAAUCGCGCAUCAGCCACGGCGCGGUGAAUACGUUCCCGGGCCUUGCACA